CUUAGUGGCCUGCUGGUGAGAUCAGAGAAAGAUAAUGGUGUCCCUGCUCUCUGCUUUUGUAAACUCCAUCAUUGUUAUGUGACUAGAGUAAGUGAUCUUUUCAUUAUUAUACACAGGAAAAAGAAACAACGGGGGUGGGGGGUGGGGUGGGCAAGCUGGAGAGAUGGCUCAGUGGUUAAGAGCACUGACUGCUCUUCCAUAGGUCCUGAGUUCAGUUCUCAGCAACCACAUGGUGGCUCACAACCAUCUGUAAUGAGAUCUAGUGCCCUCUUCUGGUGUGUCUGAAGACAGCUGCAGUGUACUCAUAUACUUUAAAUCAUUAAAUAAAUAAACCUUAAAAAAAAAAAAAGUAAGGGGAGAAAACCAAUUUUCCUGCCCAGCUAUGAAUUCCGUAGAUAAUUUUAAUGGGCACCUUUGGCAUCUACCUUUAUAAACGCUUCUGUUAGCUCCCUCUGGCACAGCACACUGUUUGUCUCUAAAGCUGCCUUUGGCUAUCGGUGAGAAUAAACUCAUUUAAUCU
rnacentral:lncRNA from 1 species